UGUUUGCGUUGUUGUACAUAU
ensembl:piRNA 21ur-269 ncRNA